UUCAUUUAAAUGCAAUUAGUUUUAUGUCUUCAUUUCUAUGUUUAGUGUGUAUUGUAUUUUAAGUUGUUACAUAUUGUUUCCUUAUAGCCAUAAUAUUCUAACUAAUUUGUAGAUGAGAAUGAGGUUAUCUGGAGGCAAUCAAAUUAUCCAAGAAUGAUCCAUAAUUAUUUAAUGAGGUCAUUCUACUUUUCCAUAUUCUAUUGUGACUUAUGUUUCACUCGUUAGUAUCAUGCAGGAUACCAAGAGCAAAUGUUGCAUUAGCCACAACAACCAAGAGCAAAUGUUGCAUUCAAAACCAUCUUUUAAUCUUUUGAUUGUCUCAACAAAAUUGGUUGGUUCGUGAAUUUGUACAAGAGAAGCAAUUUCUCUCAUGGAGUUCGAAGACAUGGAGGGUCGUGAUAGACAAUGUAAUAUAAAAAUUAGAUUACUUAUGGUAAGAUUUAAAAAUUUGUAUAGUUGUUUAUAGUUUGAUUAUUGGUCAAAUUUAUUUGGAUAAU